rnacentral:ncRNA from 1 species
AAACUCUGCCAAUUGAGCUAAUAACACUAUUUUAUACUUCGGAGUUUCGAUGUAGGCCUGAGGGAAACAGCCCAGACUGAACGAUAAGGUCCUUGAUAAUUUUCCAAGUGAGAAAGGAGGUGAAUAAAUAGUGACAACCAACAGGUAGGCUUGAAAGCAGCCAUCCUUUAAAGUAAGAAUAAUAGCUCAUUUGUCUAGUUUUUUAGCGCCUAAAACCAUUGACCGACGUCGUCCCAUUGCUCGACUGGGAGACUCCCGGUCGAGUA